GUUAGUUUCAUUAAUCAAAAAAAGAAAAAUGAAAGAUCUCAUUUUAAUUGAAAAGAUAAAAAUAAAAAGUAGUAAUUAAUUUUUAUUCUUUCUUCCAUUUUUUUUUUAUAAAUAUGUGUUUUUUGUUUUUUAAGACUUAGUCAAAUCAAAUUCUUUGAAUGUGUAUUUGCCUUUUCAAAAUUAUUCCUUUUUUAAAGGAAAAACGUUUGAGGGGUAUUAUUAAUGGGACCCAUUUACUCUUGUUUAAACCAAUUGUAAGUUGUGCUUUUUUUAAGAAAAAACUUUGACUAUUCUUGGUACAAAAAUGGGCCCAAGUUUUAAAGCAAUUGAACAUAUACUUCAUUUUUUAUAUAAUAAAAAAUGAUGUAUAGUGGAUCCCCCAAAAUUGGGGCCUCAUGCAGUGGCUUGAGUUGCCUGACCAAAAAGUUCUCUGGAAAUCAUUUUAAGAGUAUUAGAGAGCGGUUGCUGAGAACAAGUUGUAUGAGUACUUUUCUCGAAAAAAAGGGUGGUUACUUCAGGGUUCUCCCCAAAACAAUGAAGAAUGGCCUGGUAUUUGUUUAGGUCACCAGCAGGGGUUGACGCAACAUGAGCAUUUAUAUAGUUGACAUCUUCACUCUUCACCCUAGAUUGAACCAACACCUUCUCCAUGCAAAGAACAACUCCACUUCCUAUUUUGUAAAGUAUAUAGAAGAAAUCAGUAGGAAUGGAUACACGAUAUGAAAUCUGAGCUGCAAUACCAGCAAUACGCAUUAGGUACUUGCUGCAGCUGAUGGGAACCUCAACGGCCAUACACAUAUACAGGGAAUAGAAUAGGGUAGCGAAUGUACUAGCCAAGGAGGGCUCCAGGGUUGAUGCAACUAUCGAGCUGAUAAUGUUCAAAAUGCCCCCAAUAUUUGUGCAGAAGGAUAUGGAAGCGUAUAUUGUGAGGACUUUAUACACUAGAAAGAUAACUACAGCCUCGAAUCAUCUUUUUGAAUCUGAACAUUCCUAUGAUUUUGUUACUAUUAAUGGCGAAUGGCCAAGACCAUUAGAUGUAACCUCUACUAAUAGAGGAGAUACUAUUUGUCCUCUAAGGAUAGCUUUUGAUUAGAAGUAAUGAAUACUUUCUCCGUUAACCAAAAAAAACUAACAUAGUACAUGCAAAUUUAACAUCCAAACCUUUCA